rnacentral:rRNA from 1 species
UACGGAGGGUGCAAGCGUUAUCCGGAUUCACUGGGUUAAAGGGCGCGUAGGCGGCUUGCUAAGUCGGACGUGAAAUCCCUCGGCUCAACCGGGGAACUGCGUCCGAUACUGGCGAGCUUGAAUUCGGGAGAGGGAUGUGGAAUUCCCGGUGUAGUGGUGAAAUGCGCAGAUAUCAGGAGGAACACCGGUGGCGAAGGCGGGUCUCUGGGCCGAUACUGACGCUGAGGUGCGAAAGCGUGGGAGCAAACAGG